rnacentral:rRNA from 1 species
GCCAACGGCCAUACCUUGUUGAGUACACCGGUUCUCGUCCGAUCACCGAAGUUAAGCAACAUCGGGCGUGGUUAGUACUUGGAUGGGUGACCACCUGGGAACACCACGUGCUGUUGGCU